rnacentral:rRNA from 1 species
UACGAAGGGUGCAAACGUUGCUCGGAAUUAUUGGGCGUAAAGCGCACGUAGGCGGCUUAGCAAGUCGGAAGUGAAAUCCCUCGCUCAACCAAGGAAGUGCUUUCGAAACUGCUGAGCUUGAGUACUUAAGAGGAUCGCGGAAUUCCCGGUGUAGAGGUGAAAAUUCGUAGAUAUCGGGAGAACACCAGUGGCGAAGGCGGCGAUCUGGGAAGAUACUGACGCUGAGGAGCGAAAAGCGUGGGGAGCAAACAGGG